rnacentral:lncRNA from 1 species
CUGCGCUCGCGGGGGCUGCUGCGCUCUGCGCUGGGGCCUCUCGGGCUGGGAAUGCGUGGCCCGGCUUUUGAGGAUUUCCUCGGUCCCCGGGCGGAAAUAGCUGGAAUGGAGGGGCCUCUCGAUUGGAGACUUACUGGUCAAAUAUUUACUUUUGUUGAUCACUGGAAACGCUACCUACCACGCAUUGACUAGGACCACAAAAACCACGACUUCCUGGAAAAGUCUUCACCGUAAAUAUUAAUCUCUUUGGCAUGAAGAGGAAAACACUGCAGCUAAUUUUUCAUGGGAUAACAAAAAUAUAAACUGCAAUUUCUUUUAUUUUUUCCCUUUCGAUGGUCUUUUUAAACGAGGAGUAAAGAUUUCAACGCCAGGUCCAUUUUCCAAAUUUUGUACCAGAACCUUGAGGAUGCUUGUCUCUCGCGCGCUUCUCCGCAGACCGAACCCUCUCCGGAACUCAGAGCUGUUCACCCAAGUCAGCGGAGGAGGCCUCCUGGGACUUGAGCCUGAGGGUGGCGAAGAACCCUAGGCAGAGAUCAUCAACUUGGUACCGAUGAGUGACGCGGAGCUUGAACAUUCCAGCGACUUGCUCCAGGGCCACUCCCAGUUAAGAGGCUGAGUGUUAACUGCAAGAGGCUGAGUGUUAACUACGCCGUUGGCUCCAGGAACCGAACCGGGUUUGGAUACAGACCCAGUCACACCAUCCAUGAAAAGCUGUUUCUAUAAUAUGAAAAAUUGUUAAAUGACGCUUUAGUAAAAGCCAUUUAAAGAUCUUUUCUAAUAAAUUUUUCAUCUUUCCAAACAAUGCCGCUAAUUACCUUCUG